GUGAAGAAGUAAGUGGAAAGGUUAUUGUUUAAUUUUGCUUUUUGUGCUUUUCAAUGUGUCAUUUGGUUAGGCCAUGUAGCGCCUGAGUCAAUAUAAACUUGAACUGAAGCUAGUACUACACCGGCAUCCUACAGAUCAACUUCACAUCGACUCAGGCGCUACAUGGCCUAACCAAAAGACACACUGAAAAGUUUACGCAACAAAAUCAAACAAAAACCUUUCCACUUACCUCUUUGC